rnacentral:rRNA from 1 species
GACGAACGCUGGCGGCGUGCCUAAUACAUGCAAGUUGAGCGAUGAAGAUUGGUGCUUGCACCAAUUUGAAGAGCAGCGAACGGGUGAGUAACGCGUGGGGAAUCUGCCUUUGAGCGGGGGACAACAUUUGGAAACGAAUGCUAAUACCGCAUAACAACUUUAAACAUAAGUUUUAAGUUUGAAAGAUGCAAUUGCAUCACUCAAAGAUGAUCCCGCGUUGUAUUAGCUAGUUGGUGUGGUAAAGGCUCACCAAGGCGAUGAUACAUAGCCGACCUGAGAGGGUGAUCGGCCACAGUGGGACUGAGACACGGCCCAAACUCCUACGGGAGGCAGCAGUAGGGAAUCUUCGGCAAUGGACGAAAGUCUGACCGAGCAACGCCGCGUGAGUGAAGAAGGUUUUCGGAUCGUAAAACUCUGUUGGUAGAGAAGAACGUUGGUGAGAGUGGAAAGCUCAUCAAGUGACGGUAACUACCCAGAAAGGGACGGCUAACUACGUG